rnacentral:rRNA from 1 species
GUAGGAGGCGAGCGUUAUCCGGAUUUACUGGGCGUAAAGCGCGUGCAGGCGGUCCCUUAAGUCGGACGUGAAAGCUCCCGGCUCAACUGGGAGAGGUCGUUCGAAACUAGGGGACUUGAGGAUGGUAGAGGAGAGUGGAAUUCCCGGUGUAGUGGUGAAAUGCGUAGAUAUCGGGAGGAACACCAGUGGCGAAGGCGGCUCUCUGGGCCAUUCCUGACGCUAAGACGCGAAAGCUAGGGGAGAGAACGGGAUUAGAAACCCCGGGUAUUCCUAGCCGUAAACGAUGUCAACUAGGUGUAGGGGGUAUCCCAACCCCCCCUGUGCUGUAGCUAACGCGUUAAGUUGACCGCCUGGGGACUACGGCCGCAAGGCUA